GACGAACGCUGGCGGCGUGCUUAACACAUGCAAGUCGAACGGAAAGGCCCUGCUUGCAGGGUACUCGAGUGGCGAACGGGUGAGUAACACGCGGGUGAUCUGCCCUGCACUUCGGGAUAAGUCUGGGAAACUGGGCCUAAUACCGGACAGGAGCCAUUUUUAGUGUGAUGGUUGGAAAGUUUUUUCGGUGUAGGAUGAGCUGGCGGCGUAUCGGCUUGUUGGUGGGGUAAUGGCCUACCAAGGCGGCGACGGGUAGCCGGCCUGAGGGGGUGGACGGCCACAUUGGGACUGAGGUGCGGCACAGGCAGCGACGGGUGGGAGAAGUGGGGAAGCUUGACGGAGGGACGCAGGGCUGAUGAUGAGAGGCCGCGGGGGGGAAGACGGCCUUCGGGUUGUAGACUCAAUUCGCUAGGGACGAAGCUUUUUGUGACGGUACCUAGAGAAGAAGCACCGGCUAACUACGUG
rnacentral:rRNA from 1 species